rnacentral:rRNA from 1 species
GACGAACGCUGGCGGCGUGCUUAACACAUGCAAGUCGAACGAGUGGCGAACGGGUGAGUAAAGCAUCGGAACGUACCGAGUAAUGGGGGAUAACUGUCCGAAAGGACAGCUAAUAAAGCAUAGUAUUCAAGCGGCCGAUGUCGGAUGAGCUGGUUGGCGGGGUAAAGGCCCACCAAGGCGACGAUAAGUAGGGGGUCUGAGAGGAUGAUCCGCCACACUGGAACGUAGACACGGCCCAGACUCCUACGGGAGGCAGCAGUGGGGAAUUUUGGACAAUGGGCGCAAGCCUGAUCCAGCCAUGCCGCUUGUCUGAAGAAGGCCGUCGGGUUGUAAAGGACUUUUGUCAGGGAAGCGGUACCUGAAGAAUAAGCACCGGCUAACUACGUGCCAGCAGCCGCGGUAAUAC